UUUGGUUAAGUUAGAAAGGGCGCACGGUGGAUGCCUUGACACUAGGAGUCGAUGAAGGACGGGACUAACGCCGAUAUGCUUCGGGGAGCUGUAAGUAAGCUUUGAUCCGAAGAUUUCCGAAUGGGGAAACCCACCAUACGUAAUGGUAUGGUAUCCUUAUCUGAAUACAUAGGGUAAGGAAGACAGACCCAGGGAACUGAAACAUCUAAGUACCUGGAGGAAGAGAAAGCAAAUGCGAUUUCCUGAGUAGCGGCGAGCGAAACGGAACAUAGCCCAAACCAAGAGGCUUGCCUCUUGGGGUUGUAGGACAUUCUAUACGGAGUUACAAAGGAACGAGGUAGACGAAGCGACCUGGAAAGGUCCGUCGUAGAGGGUAACAACCCCGUAGUCGAAACUUCGUUCUCUCUUGAAUGUAUCCUGAGUACGGCGGAACACGUGAAAUUCCGUCGGAAUCUGGGAGGACCAUCUCCCAAGGCUAAAUACUCCCUAGUGAUCGAUAGAGAACCAGUACCGUGAGGGAAAGGUGAAAAGCACCCCGGAAGGGGAGUGAAAGAGAUCCUGAAACCGUGUGCCUACAAAUAGUCAGAGCCCGUUAACGGGUGAUGGCGUGCCUUUUGUAGAAUGAACCGGCGAGUUACGAUCCCGUGCGAGGUUAAGCUGAAGAGGCGGAGCCGCAGCGAAAGCGAGUCUGAAUAGGGCGUUUAGUACGUGGUCGUAGACCCGAAACCAGGUGAUCUACCCAUGUCCAGGGUGAAGUUCAGGUAACACUGAAUGGAGGCCCGAACCCACGCACGUUGAAAAGUGCGGGGAUGAGGUGUGGGUAGCGGAGAAAUUCCAAUCGAACCUGGAGAUAGCUGGUUCUCCCCGAAAUAGCUUUAGGGCUAGCCUUAAGUGUAAGAGUCUUGGAGGUAGAGCACUGAUUGGACUAGGGGUCCUCAUCGGAUUACCGAAUUCAGUCAAACUCCGAAUGCCAAUGACUUAUCCUUAGGAGUCAGACUGCGAGUGAUAAGAUCCGUAGUCAAAAGGGAAACAGCCCAGACCGCCAGCUAAGGUCCCAAAGUGUGUAUUAAGUGGAAAAGGAUGUGGAGUUGCUUAGACAACUAGGAUGUUGGCUUAGAAGCAGCCACCAUUUAAAGAGUGCGUAAUAGCUCACUAGUCGAGUGACUCUGCGCCGAAAAUGUACCGGGGCUAAAUACACCACCGAAGCUGCGGAUUGAUACCAAUGGUAUCAGUGGUAGGGGAGCGUUCUAAGGACAGUGAAGUCAGACCGGAAGGACUGGUGGAGUGCUUAGAAGUGAGAAUGCCGGUAUGAGUAGCGAAAGACGGGUGAGAAUCCCGUCCACCGAAUGCCUAAGGUUUCCUGAGGAAGGCUCGUCCGCUCAGGGUUAGUCAGGACCUAAGCCGAGGCCGACAGGCGUAGGCGAUGGACAACAGGUUGAUAUUCCUGUACCACCUCUUUAUCGUUUGAGCAAUGGAGGGACGCAGAAGGAUAGAAGAAGCGUGCGAUUGGUUGUGCACGUCCAAGCAGUUAGGCUGAUAAGUAGGCAAAUCCGCUUAUCGUGAAGGCUGAGCUGUGAUGGGGAAGCUCCUUAUGGAGCGAAGUCUUUGAUUCCCCGCUGCCAAGAAAAGCUUCUAGCGAGAUAAAAGGUGCCUGUACCGCAAACCGACACAGGUAGGCGAGGAGAGAAUCCUAAGGUGUGCGAGAGAACUCUGGUUAAGGAACUCGGCAAAAUGACCCCGUAACUUCGGGAGAAGGGGUGCUUUCUUAACGGAAAGCCGCAGUGAAUAGGCCCAAGCGACUGUUUAGCAAAAACACAGCUCUCUGCGAAGCCGUAAGGCGAAGUAUAGGGGGUGACACCUGCCCGGUGCUGGAAGGUUAAGGAGAGGGGUUAGCGUAAGCGAAGCUCUGAACUGAAGCCCCAGUAAACGGCGGCCGUAACUAUAACGGUCCUAAGGUAGCGAAAUUCCUUGUCGGGUAAGUUCCGACCCGCACGAAAGGUGUAACGAUUUGGGCACUGUCUCAACCAGAGACUCGGUGAAAUUAUAGUACCUGUGAAGAUGCAGGUUACCCGCGACAGGACGGAAAGACCCCGUGGAGCUUUACUGUAGCCUGAUAUUGAAUUUUGGUACAGUUUGUACAGGAUAGGCGGGAGCCUUUGAAACCGGAGCGCUAGCUUCGGUGGAGGCGCUGGUGGGAUACCGCCCUGACUGUAUUGAAAUUCUAACCUACGGGUCUUAUCGACCCGGGAGACAGUGUCAGGUGGGCAGUUUGACUGGGGCGGUCGCCUCCUAAAGUGUAACGGAGGCGCCCAAAGGUUCCCUCAGAAUGGUUGGAAAUCAUUCGUAGAGUGCAAAGGCAUAAGGGAGCUUGACUGCGAGACCUACAAGUCGAGCAGGGACGAAAGUCGGGCUUAGUGAUCCGGUGGUUCCGCAUGGAAGGGCCAUCGCUCAACGGAUAAAAGCUACCCCGGGGAUAACAGGCUUAUCUCCCCCAAGAGUCCACAUCGACGGGGAGGUUUGGCACCUCGAUGUCGGCUCAUCGCAUCCUGGGGCUGUAGUCGGUCCCAAGGGUUGGGCUGUUCGCCCAUUAAAGCGGUACGCGAGCUGGGUUCAGAACGUCGUGAGACAGUUCGGUCCCUAUCCGUCGUGGGCGUAGGAAAUUUGAGAGGAGCUGUCCUUAGUACGAGAGGACCGGGAUGGACGCACCGCUGGUGUACCAGUUGUUCUGCCAAGGGCAUAGCUGGGUAGCUAUGUGCGGAAGGGAUAAGUGCUGAAAGCAUCUAAGCAUGAAGCCCCCCUCAAGAUGAGAUUUCCUAUAGCGUAAGCUAGUAAGAUCCCUGAAAGAUGAUCAGGUUGAUAGGUUCGAGGUGGAAGCAUGGUGACAUGUGGAGCUGACGAAUACUAAUAGAUCGAGGACUUAACCAUAUAA
rnacentral:rRNA from 1 species